AGGAUGAACGCUGGCGGCGUGCCUAAUACAUGCAAGUCGAGCGGUAAGGCCACUUCGGUGGUACACGAGCGGCGGACGGCAGAGUAACGCGUGGGAAUCUACCCCAAACUGAGGGAUAAGCACCAGAAAUGGUGUCUAAUACCGCAUAUGCUCUUCGGAGUAAAGCUACGGCGGUUUGGGAAGAGCCUGCGUAUGAUUAGCUUGUUGGUAAGGUAAAAGCUUACCAAGGCGACGAUCAUUAGCUGGUCUGAGAGGAUGAUCAGCCUGACUGGGACUGAGAACGGCCCAGACUCCUACGGGAGGCAGCAGUAGGGAAUUUUCCACAAUGGGCGAAAGCCUGAUGGAGCAACGCCGCGUGCAGGAUGAAUGCCUUAGGGUUGUAAACUGCUUUUAUAUGUGAAGAUUAUGACGGUAGCAUAUGAAUAAGGAUCGGCUAACUCGUGCCAGCAGCCGCGGU
rnacentral:rRNA from 1 species